rnacentral:lncRNA from 1 species
CUCGGCCUAUGAUCCAGGGAGCAGGACUCCUAUGAAUCGGCCGGUACAGUUCAAUCAGAGCUUCUUGUGCUUUUAAGACCAUCCCAUAUGGGUUUUGAAAUUCUUCUUAAAGCUUGUUUGAAUGAUUGGGCUAAAAAUUCUGUCAAAUUCAUAGAUUGAACCAGUAUAACCAAGAAAAUCAUAAGUUUACUAACAGGGCUACACCUAUAUUUAUAAAUACUCAGAAGUGGCUUUGGGGCAGCCUGCUUUGCAUCCUUUUCCCAAGUUAUUUAUUUUUUUAUUAUUUUUUUGUGACAAUAGCUCGUUUCGUUUGGCUCUUCCCGAAUCCCGAUACGGAUAUCAGACGGCUACGAACCGGAUAGGCUAUCUUCGUGCGGUUGCCGUCGCCGUCGCCGUCUGGUCCUAUUUUGAUCGACCCUUGGAUUCGGCGUUGUCCCCUUCGUCGCUUCGCCAAGAACCAACGACCGAUACCAAGAAAAACAGAGCAAAAGAGGAUUUAGACCUGAAGAAUCUUGCACGCUCUAUGGUGCGGGAGAUGGGUUGCAACGUUUCGGCGCUGCUGCUGCUCUUCUUCAACUUUCUAAUUCCCACCUCCGCAGGUAAAUCCCCAUUUCUCUCACACUCUUAUCCAUCUUAGGUUUUGCAAUUAGGGUUUUACUUGGAGCUCCUGUAGGUUUCUUUCUUUUCUUUUCUUUUCUUUUUCCUCUCUGCGAUUUAGGGCUUGGAGGACGACGUUACAUUCGAUUCCAGAUGAUUUUGUGGUAGAUAUGUUGUGCUGUAGUGCUUGAUUUCUCAAUAACUGUUGAAAAGUUCGGAUCCGAAUGUUUUUCGAAAACUCCUGCUUCUCGGGAAUUUAUCGCUUGCAAGAAUUCAUUGGUAUCCAUCGAUAGGUUGGUGUUUUGUCUAAUUAAUUGUAGUUGCAUUAUUGUCCUUGAUUGAUGAGUCUUGAUGGCUAAAACCACGGGUGAAGAGCGAUUUAUGAGCACGAAAUAUCGAAUGGUAUGAUCUUGAUUAGUUAAAACCAAAGAUAUAUUCGCCUUCUUCAGCUUGUUGGUAUCGGUUAUUGGAGCAAGCACUUCAGCCCGAAAUUUGAAUUGUUGAGUGGGUGGUAUUCAUUAGGAGAAUGAGUUUUGGUGUCUUCAAUGUGACUCAUGGGGUGGGUGGUAUUGUUUGUUUUUUCUUUUCUUUUCUUUUCUAUUUUGUGUAAAAUGGAGAGGUAAACAAUUCGCCUCCCUGGCUUUAUUGAAAAAUGAAUGAACAGAGACAAAGGCAAGUUACGGCAUUAGUUGGUGGAUGAUAAGGAAUUACACAACAAACUAAGAGUCUUUAAUUGGAGACUGAGGAGGUUGUGCUGCAGUGGUAUUGGUUAUUAGAGCUCCUGAGGCUUCACUUUGUGUCAUGAAGUGGGUGGCUAUCUCACUUUUAGAUGUUACUAUGUUAGGAAGAUAAGGGUUGCAUUGAGGGAUCGGGUGGAAGAGACUGCAUGAGAAGGCUUGCUAGGUUGGGUUUAAUAGUGUGAGAAAGAGAGCUCAUUAAACCAUCUAGCUGAACUGGCAUGUGAUCUACUGUGGAGUCAUCUGGUGUAGAUGUUGGAUGAGGAGCAUGGUGGAGUUGGUGGACUACCCAGAUCAUAGAUAAUUGAUACUUAACUAUUACAAAACUUGAACGUUCUAUUUCAGGUUUCAACUUGUACCUCAACUUGUGUUGAAUUCCAUUGUGUAGGAGUCUCAUGCUGUGGAAUUGCCAAACGAAUGGCUAUCGAUAUUUUGAUUCCAUCUCCUAAGGUAGUCAUCUCCACCAACGAAUAUUGGUUCGUGGACUAUAAAUGAGCACCAGUGAUGAGGAAGACAGGAACCCAUGGAGGGAGCAGGGAAGUUUUGCUGAGAUCUCGGGAUACCCAAGUGUUGCUGUCCUAAGACAGUUGCCUAUUCCUUAGGUUUGCAAAGGUAGUUGGAGCAGGUGGCCUCUAGGUUAUAAAUUGCUUUAAAAGGAGAACCAUUUCAACUGAGAAGCUGAAUAUGACUUAUGUUAACAUAAUUAUAAACAGCAAGCUUGCACAAGCUAUUUUCUGUUGGAAUUAUAGAUCUUAUCAACCGAGGAAAGUAUCCUUCUCUAAGAUGAGAAUAAAUCU